rnacentral:rRNA from 1 species
UCUGACCUCAAAUCAGGUAGGACUACCCGCUGAACUUAAGCAUAUCAAUAAGCGGAGGAAAAGAAACUAACAAGGAUUCCCCUAGUAACUGCGAGUGAAGCGGGAAAAGCUCAAAUUUAAAAUCUGGUAGUCUUUGGCUGCCCGAAUUGUAGUCUAGAGAAGCGUCUUCCGCGCYRGMCCGUGUACAAGUCUCUUGGAACAGAGCGUCAUAGAGGGUGAGAAUCCCGUCCAUGACAUGGACUACUGGUGCUUUGUGAUGCGCUCUCAACGAGUCGAGUUGUUUGGGAAUGCAGCUCAAAAUGGGUGGUAAAUUCCAUCUAAAGCUAAAUAUUGGCGAGAGACCGAUAGCGAACAAGUACCGUGAGGGAAAGAUGAAAAGCACUUUGGAAAGAGAGUUAAACAGUACGUGAAAUUGCUGAAAGGGAACCGCUUGAAGUCAGUCGCAUCGUCUAGAACUCAACCUGGCUUUUGCUUGGUGCACUUUCUAGUUGAUGGGCCAACAUCAGUUUUGACCGCUGGAAAAAAGCCUUUGGAAUGUGGCACCCUCGGGUGUGUUAUAGCCUUUGGUUGUAUACAGUGGUUGGGACUGAGGACCGCAGCACGCCUUUUGGCCGGGGUUCGCCCACGUACGUGCUUAGGAUGUUGGCGUAAUGGCUUUAAGCGACCCGUCUUGAAACACGGACCAAGGAGUCUAACAUACCUGCGAGUGUUUGGGUGGCAAACCCGAGCGCGUAAUGAAAGUGAAAGUUGGGAUCCCUGUCGUGGGGAGCACCGACGCCCAUACCAGACCUUCUGUGACGGCUAUGCGGUUGAGCAUGUAUGUUGGGACCCGAAAGAUGGUGAACUAUGCCUGAAUAGGGUGAAGCCAGAGGAAACUCUGGUGGAAGCUCGUAGCGAUUCUGACGUGCAAAUCGAUCGUCAAAUUUGGGUAUAGGGGCGAAAGACUAAUCGAACCAUCUAGUAGCUGGUUCCUGCCGAAGUUUCCCUCAGGAUAGCAGAAACUCGUAUCAGAUUUAUGUGGUAAAGCGAAUGAUUAGAGGCCUUGGGGKUGAAACAACCUUAACCUAAUCUCAAACUUUAAAUAUGUAAGAACGGGGCGKCACUUAAUUGGACCGCCUGGCGAUUGAGAGUUUCUAGUGGGCCAUUUUUGGUAAGSAGAACUGGCGAUGCGGGAUGAACCGAACGCGAGGUUAAAGUGCCGGAAUACACACUCAUCUCACACCACAAAAGGUGUUAG